AGCAGCCGCGGUAAUUCCAGCUCCAAUAGCGUAUAUUAAAGUUGUUGCAGUUAAAAAGCUCGUAGUUGAAUUUCGGGGUUCUACCGUUGGUCAGGCUAUUGUCUGUACUGGCGUGUAGAAUUUCUACCUUCUGGGGAACUAUCAUGUUAUUAAUUUAGCGUGGUAGGAAACCAGGACCUUUACCUUGAAAAAAAUUAGAGUGUUCAAAGCAGGCUUAUGUCUGAAUACAUUAGCAUGGAAUAAUAAAAUAGGACGGUGGCCCUGUUUUGUUGGUUUCUGAAUCACCGUAAUGAUUAAUAGGGAUAGUUGGGGGCAUUAGUAUUCAAUUGUCAGAGGUGAAAUUCUUGGAUUUAUUGAAGACUAACUACUGCGAAAGCAUUUGCCAAGGAUGUUUUCAUUAAUCAAGAACGAAAGUUAGGGGAUCGAAGACGAUCAGAUACCGUCGUAGUCUUAACCAUAAACUAUGCCGACUAGGGAUCGGACGAUGUUAACUUUCUUGUACUCGUUCGGCGCCUUACGG
rnacentral:rRNA from 1 species